rnacentral:rRNA from 1 species
ACGAACGCUGGCGGCGUGCUUCACCCAUGCCAGUCGAACGGUGAAGCCCUUCGGGGUGGAUCAGUGGCGAACGGGUGAGUAACACGUGAGCAACCUGCCCCUGGCUCUGGGACAACCACUGGAAACGGUGGCUAAUACCGGAUACGACCCGCCUCGGCAUCGAGUGUGGGUGGAAAGUUUUUCGGCUGGGGAUGGGCUCGCGGCCUAUCAGCUUGUUGGUGAGGUGAAGGCUCACCAAGGCGACGACGGGUAGCCGGCCUGAGAGGGCGACCGGCCACACUGGGACUGAGACACGGCCCAGACUCCUACGGGAGGCAGCAGUGGGGAAUAUUGCACAAUGGGCGAAAGCCUGAUGCAGCGACGCCGCGUGAGGGAUGACGGCCUUCGGGUUGUAAACCUCUUUCAGCUCCGAAGAAGCGAAAGUGACGGUAGGAGCAGAAGAAGCACCGGCUAACUACGUG